UCUGGAAACUNUCUGACUUGAGUGCAGAAGGGGAGAGUGGAAUUCCAUGUGUAGCGGUGAAAUGCGUAGAUAUAUGGAGGAACACCAGUGGCGAAAGCGGCUCUCUGGUCUGUCACUGACGCUGAGGCUCGAAAGCGUGGGUAGCGAACAGGAUUAGAUACCCUGGUAGUNCACGCCGUAAACGAUGAGUGCUAGGUGUUAGGCCCUUUCCGGGGCUUAGUGCCGGAGCUAACGCAAUAAGCACUCCGCCUGGGGAGUACGACCGCAAGGUUGAAACUCAAAGGAAUUGACGGGGGCCCGCACAAGCGGUGGAGCAUGUGGUUUAAUUCGAAGCAACGCGAAGAACCUUACCAGGUCUUGACAUCCCGAUGCUAUUCUUAGAGAUAGGAAGUUACUUCGGUACAUCGGAGACAGGUGGUGCAUGGUUGUCGUCAGCUCGUGUCGUGAGAUGUUGGGUUAAGUCCCGCAACGAGCGCAACCCUUAUUGUUAGUUGCCAUCAUUAAGUUGGGCACUCUAGCGAGACUGCCGGUAAUAAACCGGAGGAAGGUGGGGAUGACGUCAAAUCAUCAUGCCCCUUAUGACCUGGGCUACACACGUGCUACAAUGGUCGGUACAACGAGUUGCGAGCCGGUGACGGCAAGCUAAUCUCUGAAAGCCGAUCUCAGUUCGGAUUGGAGGCUGCAACUCGCCUCCAUGAAGUCGGAAUCGCUAGUAAUCGCGGAUCAGCACGCCGCGGUGAAUACGUUCCCGGGCCUUGUACACACCGCCCGUCACACCACGAGAGUUUGUAACACCCGAAGUCGGUGAGGUANCCUUUUAGGGGCCA
rnacentral:rRNA from 1 species